GUCUACAGCCAUACCACCCUGAACGUGCCGGAUCUAGUCUGAUCUCAGAAUCUAAGCAGGGUCGGGCCUGGUUAGUACUUGAAUGGGAUACCUACAGUGUGAACUGUGUCCUUAGAUA
ensembl:rRNA 5S_rRNA 5S ribosomal RNA